AAUUUAUCUUUUUCAAAUGUAUAAUACAGUAGAUUGUGUAGAAGACAUCAAAAAUCAACAUUGUGAUCUUCAAGCCAAAAUAUAAAUUCAUAAAACAUUCGUGAAUCUUUUCAUCAUUUUCUUUGUUUUUCUUCAAAGUUAAGUCAUAUGUCAAUGUGUUCAUCAUCGUUCAUUGCAAGAAUUUUAACUGAAUUUCAUUGCAAGUUUUAAAUAAAAGAUUUGUAUACAAUAAAUUGAUAAAAGUAAUCGAUGUCAAACUUUAAGUUUUGAAUCAGCUAUCUGUUUAACGAGCAGUGAAAAUUUUAAUGUGAUAUUUAUUAAUUUGACUCUUUUCUAUGUUACAGGUGUGACUGAUAACCAUUUG
rnacentral:lncRNA from 1 species